rnacentral:rRNA from 1 species
CCUACGGGACGCAGCAGUAGGGAAUAUUGCACAAUGGGCGAAACCCUGAUGCAGCAACACCGCGUGGGGGAUGAAGGUCUUCGGAUUGUAAACUCCUUUUGUUAGAGAAGAUAAUGACGGUAUCUAACGAAUAAGCACCGGCUAACUCCGUGCCAGCAGCCGCGGUAAUACGGAGGGUGCUAGCGUUAUCCGGAAUCACUGGGCGUAAAGAGCGCGUAGGCGGGAUAGCAAGUCAGAUGUGAAAUCCUAUGGCUUAACCAUAGAACUGCAUUUGAAACUGUUAUUCUAGAGUAUGGGAGAGGUAG